rnacentral:tRNA from 3 species
GCCGGGGUGGCGGAAUCGGUAGACGCGGCAGACUCAAAAUCUGCUGUCCGCAAGGACGUGCGGGUUCGAGUCCCGCCCCCGGCACCA